UAGUGUAGGUUGUAAAAUGAUAAAUAAAUAUUAUUAUCGUAAGAGUGUUAUUGGUAUUUAUAGUCUAUUACUUCAUUGAUUUGGUUGUCUAAUUCUUUGAGUAUAAGCGUGUUGUCAUUUGUCGAUGCCUAUUUAGAAAUUAGUUCAUAAUUCUAAUGAUAAUAUUGUAGUUAAAAUAUGCUUAUAACAAUCAUUGUAAUAAUGUAAUGUAAAAUGCAAUACAAUAUUUAAAAAAUGUCAUCUUUAUAGUGUAGAGUAUACACUUUAGCCUGUAAUGACGGAGAACUAAAAUUGAAUUGGACGUCUCUUGUGAACCAUUAUAUGUAAUAUAUGCAUAGAGAAAAAACUAUUAAGUGCAAAUUCUUGUAUUAUUUUGUAAUUAUUUACAUCUACACUUCAUCCUGUCCUAUCAACGGCACCUGUGCGUUGGAACACGCUACAGCCUACAGUUGUAUCAAGCUGGGAGAUAGCAGAACUCCGGUCAGUAAUGUCUGAUUUAAUGUUUCUUUCUUUAUGGAAUGUACUCUUCACAAUUAUGAUGUGGUGCUCCUUUAUGACGAAUAACAUAUUCUGUCCAGUAAGCAACAGACUUUUCCGGUGACAUUGGUCGGUCUUUAAAAAUUUCUGAAGCAAUUUUGGCAUUGUGUGUGAAUCUAAAAAAAAAACAUAAUCUUAAAAACACUAAUAAGAGUAUUUAGCCAUGCCUGCCUUAACUAAAUUAUCUAUGUUCCUACACUGAUCACCGAAUAAUGGAAAUCCUAACACUGGGACUCCAGCAUCUACAGCUUCAUACAAUCCAGAUAUUCCACCGUGACUGAUGAAGAGCUUAACAUUUCUGUGCACUGUUUAUCUUCCAUUUCACCCUCGUAUUUUAAUAAGAUUCUUUGUGGAAGUUCAGCAAAUGCUUCCUUUAAUGCAGUUAAUAUAUUGUAUGGUACUGAAGACAUCGCAAUGGUUGAACCAAAUGUGAAUAAAAUAACUCCAUCUGGUAUUUUUUUGGUUGGUUUUAAAUGAAUACCACCGAUAUUGACAACAUUUGAUGGAGUUGGUCUAGGAUUAUCGCUUAUGAAAUGAGAGUUCAUAAAGACCAAUGAUGGAGGAUUUAUAGUUCCAAGAUCAUAAGGUUUUGAGUCAAAUAAUUGAAUCUUAGGAACUGCGGAUUGAAAUAACAUUGUUGAAACUGUUGCUGGGUUACUGAUAUCACCAAAGGUGAUACGUUCCGUAUAAGUAUUUAUUGGAACUGGAGUUGUGUAUAUCAU